rnacentral:rRNA from 1 species
GAACGAUGAUAUCACUGCUUGCAGUGAUUGAUUAGUGGCGAACGGGUGAGUAACACGUGAGGAACUUGCCCAUGAGCGGGGGACAACAUUCGGAAACGGAUGCUAAUACCCCAUAGGUGGAUUGGUCGCAUGACGAAUUCAUUAAAGGUGGCUUUGCUACCACUCAUGGAUAGCCUCGCGGCGUAUUAGCUAGUUGGUAAGGUAAUGGCUUACCAAGGCAGUGAUACGUAGCCGACUUGAGAGGGUGAUCGGCCACACUGGGACUGAGACACGGCCCAGACUCCUACGGGAGGCAGCAGUAGGGAAUCUUCCACAAUGGGUGCAAACCUGAUGGAGCAAUGCCGCGUGAGUGAAGAAGGUCUUCGGAUCGUAAAGCUCUGUUGUUAGAGAAGAACACGUGCUAGGUAACUACUAGCGCCUUGACGGUAUCUAACCAGAAAGUCACGGCUAACUACGUGCCAGCAGCCGCGGUAAUACGUAGGUGACAAGCGUUGUCCGGAUUUAUUGGGCGUAAAGGGAGCGCAGGCGGUCUGUUUAGUCUAAUGUGAAAGCCCACGGCUUAACCGUGGAACGGCAUUGGAAACUGACAGACUUGAAUGUAGAAGAGGAAAAUGGAAUUCCAAGUGUAGCGGUGGAAUGCGUAGAUAUUUGGAGGAACACCAGUGGCGAAGGCGAUUUUCUGGUCUAGCAUUGACGCUGAGGCUCGAAAGCGUGGGGAGCGAACA